rnacentral:lncRNA from 1 species
AGCGAACCAUAUAUCCUCAGCAGAAUAAACGAACGCUUUAAGCGUCAAAGCCUUUCUAUACGGCGAGUGCAUCUGUAUACACCAGUAAAAUUAAGACACACAGAUGAAGCGGUGGACGGCGACUGUGGCGUCUGCCUGACUGAAUCCUCCAUGGUUAGCUUCGACGGCCAAAUUCCGGCGCUCGCAGUACACGUAGAAACAAUUCACGCAGUCUGAUUCUUCAGUUCGAGUAAAGUGAAUCAAAGCUUUUUACGCCUUGGAUUAGGCUUGGGUACUUCUGGUAUUGCUUCACCUUUAAUUUCCACUCAUUAUAUUUUAUGAAUUUCUAUUUUGUCGAAGUAUUUUAUGGAUUAUUACCGUUCAGGUUUCUUGGAUAAAUAAGUUAAAGCAACCAGGACACUAAACAAAAGAGCUUAUUAAUACUAGGAUGAUAUAGGAAUAAUGAACUCUACAGUCUUGAUUAUCAAGAUGCAGUGAAAGGGGGGGCCGGGUGGGGUUGAAUUAUUGCAGACUAAAUUUUAUACAGUGCAAGAAAGCAAAUUGCUAUAGUGGAGUGUCACUGUAUGCUACAUUGUGACACGUUAGAAAAUGGAGAGGAAUGGGAAGAUACCAUCUUUGUUUUAAUAACAAAAAGGAAUACAAUAAAUUUCACAUAGAAACAAAUAUGAACUGCCAUGCAUCUCACAUCCCAGUAGCUUUUGAUACUUGCUUCAAAGCUUCAGCGAUCUCACUGGCUGAUGAUUCACCACUCAAAUGUGCAAUCAAGCGACUCUCUUUAGGAACAAAGUCAUCUUUUAACUCCAUGGAUCUUAGCAAUUCUUCAGAUCCUUUUAUCACCACACCUUUCAUUAUUAUGGUCUUAUGAGCCCCAGCUACCAUUUGCUCAUAGUCAGUGUCUCCAGUUUCACCAAGAAUUACAUACAUGUUUGCAACAUUCAACCUCCAACGGACGAAAAGGUACCUAUUAAUCAGAAGCAAAUGGAAAUAGAAACAAAUCCUCAACUUAUUACAAUCAUUCUGUAGGACUCCUUAAGAUCUGGUGGUUAAGGGAUUUGGUUAAACAACAAGAAGCCAAUUAAUCAAUGAUCAAGAAUUAGUAUCAAAAAAGUUACAUGUUAAGUCAUGAAACUGCAUUCCAUAAUUUUAAAACGUUAUCACAUAACAGGCCAAUUUUUAAAAGCACCAUUUAUCUAAAAGUACCUCAGCGCCUGUGCUCGAGAUGCCAAGAGAGGAAUGAUUUGCAUCCUUGUUGAGCUCCUGCAGUACAUUGGAUGACAACGAAGACCCCGCAUCCUUAGUUUUUGCCUCAAAUCAUGCACUUUCAUAACCUGUAAAAGCACAUCAGAGUGAAAAUACAUGUAUAAAAACAACCCUUGUUAAAUUAACCUCAAGAAAAAUAUCUUCUUUUACCUUUUUGCGAUCCUUGAUCCAGUAUGCGACGCAAUGGGCAUUGCUUGAUUUUGAAUCUAACUCGAUGAGGCUGGAUGAUCCUUUAGAUUGUUCUGCACCUUCAGUUGUGUUUAUUAGCUUCCAGAUGGUUUUUUUAAGACCUUCACAACCCCAGCGGUAGUCUAUAUGUGAUGCAUAAUCUGGAUCCGGUAAAAGUUCUCCAUUCUCUUCAGUAUAAGUUCCAGGGUAAUACAAUUCACUACCACUGCUACAAAUCAAUGCAUCAAACUCAUUUACUUGAAUCUUUGCCGAUGCCAAGAAUUCUACUGUUUCUGACAAUGGCAUAGCUGUAGCUAAAGCAAUCCCUGAUGUUCUUGCAAAUAGUGAGUCUGACCUAACAGCUUUAAUUACAUAUUGCACAACUUGAAUCAUCUUAUUUUCAGGAGCCCCUUCAGCGCCAUAGCAGUCAAGAGCUAUUACAAUCAACCUUCGUCGCCUCCUCAACAUGGGAUACUUGCUCAUGCCAGUCUCAUUCUUUCCACCUUCAGCAUCUUUUGGGCCAGCCUCUGGUUUCUUGAUCUUCCUCAUUACCUGGUUUACUUGAGCUUGUAUCUCCGGGUCACCUGCAGCUGCUGCUGAAUAGUCGAGUGAUUCAUUUAAUGAAGAUUUAUCGCCAUCAAUUGAGAGCCUAAGAGACAUAUCUUGCACAUCCUUCAGGGAAUCAUUGAGAGAUGACUCUUCAGCAGCCAUCUCAUCUCCUGGAGUAUCAGUUUGCCACUGUGGGUGCCUCAUUCGGCAUGCUGCUACCCUAGUCAAGUAAGUGCGGCAGUGUUCUGGCCAUGAGAAAAGGUGUAUAUUUUUCCAACCAUUCUUUCUGCACUCAUGCCAUAGAUUCUUCUCUGAUACCAAUGUAAGUAGUGCAUCAGCAAUAGCUUGCUGAUCAUGAGGAUCCACAAGUAGACCGUUGUUCAAUGCCUACCAAUCAAAUCAAGAAUAAUAAAAACUUCAGAUUUUCAAUCAUCAAAUUCAUAGUUCCAUUACAUCCAUAAUAGCUAAGAAAUAGGAGAGUGAGAAAAAGAAAAUAAAAAUCCUACACAAAUUUCCAACAAACCGAUUCAUUCUAAAGUUUACUUUUAUUUCAUCUGGCUAUCAUUCAAUCAGAUGGGAUAGACAUAGAACAUGAAAAUAAGACUAAAGCACAUCCAAGAAGCUGGCAGUCUAUAUGCUAGUUAAUAGAUGGGGAUUGUCUUUACUCGAUUGAUGUCAACUGGGCCACCAUUUUUAGUUGCCACCAUAGGAAGCCCGUGUGCAGCAGCCUGAAUUUUUUGAAACCAGUAUCAAAAUAUCAUUAUUUGAGCAAAGGAAGAUGAGAACAUGAAAAUUCUAAUUUACUAAGAUAAACUAACCUCAAUUAAGGUAAGGCCAAAAGGCUCGACCAAUGCUGGGUUUAUGAAAACUCCCUGGCAGAUACCAAAUCACUUAAUCAAUAAUUAAUGUGAGUUUCAUAUAGAUUUACUUCUAAAACAGUAUUUCCAGUAAACCUUUGUCUUUGCAGCAAGCCGAUAAAUAUCUGGAACUUCGUAUUGCUUGUGAUGCUUUGGAUAUGCAACUAGCCCAUAGAGAUCAUACUUGUCUAUCAGUUUCAAUACUGUCAUGAGAACACUUGCAUUUCCACCUGUCAUCUCAUCUAUAUCGUCCCUGUUUCCCAUGAUUAGUGUCUGCAUCAUAGAAUAUUAGUUUUCUUAAGUGUACCAUAUCACCAUGUUAAAGAUUACUUUAACUGCCUAGUUAUAAAAUGUUCGUACGAGAUUGGCAAGCUCUCUUAAUGGACGGCACUCUCCAAAGGCUUUCAGUAACGUAGUAAUAUUUUUCUUUGGGUCAGGCCUUGACAAGGCCAAAAUCAUUGGCUUGUGAGGAUUAGUAAGGAAUCUCAUCACCUGCCAUAAGAAGAUAGCACAAGGCAACAAUAGUUCAUACGCUUAAUCAAGUGGAACAACAAUCAACACACAAAUGGGAC